rnacentral:tRNA from 1 species
UGUUUCCUUAGUUAAAUGGAUAUAACAGCCCCCUCCUAAGGGGCAGUUGAGGGUUCGAUUCCCCCAGGGAACGU